AUCCAGCCGGCGAGUCCCAAGUAGGACGAAAUGCGCGUUAUCCUGGAU
rfam:Trichobilharzia regenti genome assembly, scaffold: TRE_scaffold0066759